rnacentral:rRNA from 1 species
AUUGAACGCUAGCGGCAGGCCUAACACAUGCAAGUCGAACGAGUGGCGGACGGGUGAGUAAUAUGUCGGAACGUGCCCACUAGCGGGGGGUAACUCAUCGAAAAAGUAGCUAAUACCGCAUACGAUUGGAGCUGCCCAUAGCGGAUUAGCUAGUUGGUGGGGUAAAGGCUCACCAAGGCGACGAUCCGUAGCUGGUUUGAGAGGAUGACCAGCCACACUGGAACUGAGACACGGCCCAGACUCCUACGGGAGGCAGCAGUGGGGAAUUUUGGACAAUGGGGGAAACCCUGAUGCAGCCAUGCCGCGUGUAUGAGAAGGCCUUCGGGUUGUAAAGUACUUUUGGCGGGGAGGCGGUACCCGCAGAAUAAGCACCGGCUAACUCCGUGCCAGCCGCCGCGGUAAUAC